UUAAAUUGAAGAGUUUGAUCAUGGCUCAGAUUGAACGCUGGCGGCAGGCCUAACACAUGCAAGUCGAGCGGAAACGAGAAGUAGCUUGCUACUUCGGCGUCGAGCGGCGGACGGGUGAGUAAUGCCUAGGAAAUUGCCUUGAUGUGGGGGAUAACCAUUGGAAACGAUGGCUAAUACCGCAUAAUGCCUACGGGCCAAAGAGGGGGACCUUCGGGCCUCUCGCGUCAAGAUAUGCCUAGGUGGGAUUAGCUAGUUGGUGAGGUAAUGGCUCACCAAGGCGACGAUCCCUAGCUGGUCUGAGAGGAUGAUCAGCCACACUGGAACUGAGACACGGUCCAGACUCCUACGGGAGGCAGCAGUGGGGAAUAUUGCACAAUGGGCGAAAGCCUGAUGCAGCCAUGCCGCGUGUAUGAAGAAGGCCUUCGGGUUGUAAAGUACUUUCAGUUGUGAGGAAGGGGGUAGUGUUAAUAGCGCUAUCUCUUGACGUUAGCAACAGAAGAAGCACCGGCUAACUCCGUGCCAGCAGCCGCGGUAAUACGGAGGGUGCGAGCGUUAAUC
rnacentral:rRNA from 1 species